CCUCGGGCCACCAGCAGCGACAGGCCGCAGAGCAGCAGAAGCGACAGCAGUGCCGGGCCCACGCGCUCCAUGGGGCCGGCGGCGGCGGCGGCGAAGGGGACAAAGGCGCAGGGUGCCGAGUUCAGAGAACCGCCGAGGUCGGCUGGGCCGGGCCUCGCUGUUCAAGUAUCCCGCCCGGGGGGCGCGGCGGGGGCGGGGCCUCCACCCUCUCCCCCUCCCCGUCUCAGGGACCCGCCCUCCCGCGCCCAGCCACUGGGGGCGCCCGCAGCUGGGCGGACGCAGACUCCCCUGCAGGGCUGCGCAGAAGGGGGGCGCCUUCGGGCCGGACGCGCCCCGACCCCCGCCCCAGGCCCUCGAACCCGAUCCUCUCCUGGCUGAGGCGCGCGGCUGGUCUCAAGACCCGGGACUAGCUCCGCUCGGCCUGCGGAAAGGACCCGGAUCCGCGCGCGACCCAGCGCCCCUGCGGAGCCUGGCCUCGACAGUCCUGCUCGAGGGCCCGGGCUGGCACGCCCCGCACCCUCCGCGUCCGCGUGGCCAGGCCGGGCAGCUCUGCGCUGACCCAGGAUUUCCCAGCUGGAGUCGGGGCACCGCCUUUCAGGGCUGCCAGGCAGGCGAGGCAAUGGCCGAAACUGACACCCCAACACCGGUUAAAAUCCCAUUCCUGAUGUGAUGUGCUCAGCUUUGAAGACUCAAAGGAGCAAAGGUCCAGAGAGCAGUGAAGCCCAGGAGACACUUGAGGCUUCGGAGGGAUGCGGUACUCCAAGUUAGAUGGAACCAAAAGCUGAACUGAGUCAGCCUGGUUCUGGGUAUGGAAGACCCACCUGGAGGAUUGUUGCCAACAGCAUAAAAAGAGAACUGCAGGGGAAGAUCGUUUGCUAUUGAUUUUCUCAGAGAAGCUUGCCACAGCUGGUUUCCCUGAUAUGAACUCGGCUGUUCUCCUCAUCAGAGGAGCUCGGGUCCUUGCUGUCACUGAGGAUGGCUGCUCUUCUCAUCAGAGGAGCUCUGGUCUUCGCCUUGAGCAUCGCUUCCUGGCUCCAGUGCAGAUCUCUCAGCCUGGUGACACAAUUCCUUCACCCUGCUGGCACAGGUUUUCUAGCUUCUACCACUGGCCUUUGGGCUUUCCCAGGGCAGAGCCUCAGUACAGAUUUGCAUGAGACACUGCUGUGGGCUCUAGGCCUCCAGGUGGACUCGAGGAGGACACUGCCUUGGACUCUAGGCCUUCAGCUGGACUUGUCUGGGACAUUGCUUUGGGAUCCAGGCCCUUGGCUGGAUUCUUUGGGUCCCUGGUGCUCAGCUAGAUCUCAUGUACUCCUCUGCAUUUGACUUUUUGGGUGAAAAUUAUAAAAUAAUCCCGUGAAUUAUGUGUCCUGUAUUAAAUUUAUUCCCUUGCAAACCCUGACUACAAUAUUUAAGGUGUACAAUGUGAUGUUUGAAUGUAUGUAUACUUUGUGAAAUAACUGCUCUAGUAAAAAUAAAUUAACAUACUCAAAAUCUC
rnacentral:lncRNA from 1 species